rnacentral:lncRNA from 1 species
CAAUUAAACCUCUUACCCAUUCUACGAAUCAUUCGAAAGCUCGAGGGCUAGACCCAUCAAGUUUGCUCAUGUGAACCUAUUGAACUAUGAUUAUAGUAAAAUCAUUCAAAUUCGAUGACAUGAAGCAUUCGGGACACUCGGUGCACUCAUAUAGAAAGAACUCGGAUUCGUACUUCAACUAUGACUAGAUCUCCGUCCGAUUCUCAUGUGGAAGCUUAUGUGGCUAUUAUAACUGCAUGGGCCCCAUGUAUCCACACCUCAAAGGCAAUCAUCAAUCAGGAAAGGGUGGCCCAAUCCGACUACUUGGGAGGCCUAAUCGGAUUGGUACCUCAUCUACUCGAUAAAUAAGGCAUCAUAAAAUAUAUAAAUUGAAACCAACUGUAUCUGUAAAGAUCUAACUAAAUUUCCUUACCUGUGACUAUGUAUGUAACCCUACCCCGGACUACAUAAGUAGAUAAGGAGCACUUGAUUGGUAAUAAAUCCUCAACCCAUAGAUGCAUAAUUGUGAUCUGCUACUUGCAAUCGACCCUAGCUCACCGUGCACAAGCAACAAACGUCCUCAUAUUCACUAGACAGGUGUGCUACCCUUUUGAUUUUACUACCCGUGAUGCAUCGAUUAUUAGUUGGAGGAUAAAGACAAUGACAAUCUUCUUUGUGCGAAGGGCAUCGACCGACAGUUGUCAGCCCAUCUGCCUUUGCGUUCGCUUCAUCAAUAACUCUAGAAGCUGAGAUGUCUCUUGAGGAGAAUGAAAAGAUAGGCUAAAUUAUAGCAUUGCCAUUUUGCUAUCCAACGAUGGACUAGUAUUUGGUUGUUUGGUAGGACUCACAUCAAGUGCUUCUUUGGAGGAGCCGAAGCACUUGAGACUCCUGUUGCCCACUUUUCGUGGCUUUGACUUUUGGUAAAAAAAAAAAAAUUGCUCUAACUUCUCAACUGAAAACGGCUCUUUCUCCUAAAGUGUUUGGUAGAACUCCUAUAGAGAAGCUGUUAACGGAGCCUUCACAAAUAGACUCUUAGCAAGAAGGAGGUAGAGAGUCCACGAAAGAUUUUAUGAACCGCAUUGAGAAAAGCUGUAGCGAGUUGCAUAGCACUAAAAAUCUCCUGAGUCUCGUUUGCAUCUUGAGUUCGUGAGUGAGUUCACCGGAAGAAAUCAGGCCGCCGGAGAGAGUUCAAGCUGAAUGCUGAGUACGCUGCUCUGCUUGCUGUGCCUUUCUGCGUUCCUGGUGGCUGCCUGGGCAUUGCCGCUGGGCGGUGUCCACUGCUUGAGAUGGCCAGCCCGA